rnacentral:lncRNA from 1 species
UCCUGGCUAGGGCUUCACCCUCUGGCUUGUGCCCACGAACCUAGGUGAGGACAGGCACUCCUGCCUUUGGGCCCAAAUGUUGCAUUUUCCAAAACCACCCUGGCCCACCACACCCCCAUCCUGGGCGGAUAAAAACUGAGACCCUAGCAGGCAGAUAGAUACACAAGCGUCUGGACGUCCAGAGGAGGGGAUCAGCGGAAGAAGACACAAGCAGCCGGACAUCGAGAGGAUGUCGAGGGGAGCAUGCCAGUGGAAGAGCACAUGACAGACACUGGCAGGACAGCAGGCCAUUGACUGGAGGAACGAUGUGGAGUUUAGCGAGAUCAGGAGGAGGAGAGCACGGGCCGCUAAGCAGAGGGACCCCUGGUGCAUCUCCCAUCUGGCUCCCCCAUCUGCUGAGAACUACUUCUACUCAGUAAAACCUCGGACUCAUUCUCCAAGCCCUCGCGUGAUCUGGUUCUUCCGGUACACCACGGCAGGAAACCCUGGGAUACAGAAAUCCCUCCGUCCUUGUGGAUUUUAGAAUGCCAAGCUGACAUUUUGAGUUUUUAUGAGAAACCAGAAAAUUUGGUGUGAAGACCCUAAGUGGUGUGUCUGACUUACAGCAGGCCCACAGUACCUGUUAUUGAGUGAGAUAAGCAAAUGGUAUUUCAGGACCAAAACAUCUGUUUCCUGAAGAGUUGCUCCUUUAAUUGUGUAUCUACCUACCUGUCUAUGUAACUCUUGGCAAAUACAUUGGAGACUUCUCAACUUUCUGCUUCUGAUGAUCUCAACUUGUGGUAUGGCAAAAGGAGAGCAAAAUGUUCACCCAGGGGUCUGAGUUUGGUUCAAGAGAGGAACUACAGCUGUUGGUGACUACAACCAUCUGCCCAGAUGACAUCGUGAUCAACUCCUCUGAAUCACUCUAAAGGAACGAGAAGUCCUGGCAGCUGAGUCAUGAUCCCCCAGGAGCCAUUAAGAAGUUAAUCUUCAGUCACUUCCAUCCAAACAGAAGAAAACCCAUGAAGGAUGAGAACUAUGGGUCCUGAGAAUGACAGGUAAUUGGUGCCACUUUAUUCACAGAAUCCAAUAAAUAGUACUCUUUGAUUCACAUAUUUAAUGCUCAUUAUUGUACAUUUUUAUAAAGACAAGUUAGUCUAAAUUGCCAUUCAUCUCUUUCUUAUCAAAGUCCUACCCAACACAUGAUCAUAUCAUCAGAAAUCAGAUAUUUUCUUGUUGAAUGCCCUACCUAACUCAUUCAAUUGUAAUUUUCUGGGAAUGGUGACCAGAGAUUUGAUAUUUUUGGAAGUUACAUCAAAUCCUCAUUACUUUAUAAGUGAUUUAAAAUUUAUCACAUGGUACACUUUUCAUAUCUUUCAAAGGAUUAAUAUAUAAAAAAUAUAUAGUUAAUGCUCAGCUUUAAAGACAUUAAAGGACAGAGUUAUACAGAAAGAAAGAUCCAGAGAUCUUUCUUUAAUAAAGAUAUUAAAAUUGAAUCUGCUUAUUCAAGUAUAAUGAUAGAACAGAAAGAGAUCUUAAAAUUGUUUAAUCUCUUCCUUGGCUUUCAAAAAUAUAAAGUCUUCUUUAUUGGAGAUUUCUUUAUCCAUAGAAUAUCUUAAUUCCCCACUCCCCAACUUCCUCCCCAUGUGAAGUUUUAUCUGUCUUUAAAAUAUUUGUGUUGUCUUCUUCAGGAUAUAUCAUUGAUUGGCACUUUUUGAUUCUAGUUUUAUAUACUGUUAUCCUUGUAUAUUAAAGUAGGUCUCAAAUAUAUCUUUCAUGGUGGUGUGUAAGGUUCUGAGAGAGCUGGAAAAAAGGUAUAAGCUCCCUUCUAAAGUGCAAGUAUAUACUUGCAGAGAUAUUUUUUCACUUACAUUCUUGGAGAUCAUCCAUGGUCUCCCCAUGUCUUUUACAAAAGAGGUUUCCAGCACCUAUUAGGGAAGCUAGAUGGUCACUUGUAUCUUCCUUAUCUCUGUAUUAGAUGAUAAUAUCGAAUGCAGGUAAGUGGUGGUGGGGAGAGUAAUAUUGACAGAAUAGUUAUAUGGCAAACAUUGGCACCUCAGAAAUUUUUUGCUUUUUUGAGGGCUCUUAUUAAUAUUUGCAAACUUUAAAAAGCCUUGAAAAGAGUUUUAUCCAGAGCUCACCACAUAUAGAAAAACAGAUCUCUCUUGUUAUGGGAAUUGAGGCUAGUCCAAAUUCCCCCAGAUUAAACAUCUUUCCUCAUUUGGCACAUUCUUCAGCUGUUCCUUAAGAAAAAAUCAUACUAAGGAAAGUUAAUUCUGGGAAGUCUAGAAUUAGAAUAAAAUUAUUACACUAAAAGGAAAGCCCAGAUAUCUCUUUAAAAAUGCUUAAUUUUUUUGAAAACUCACAUCAGCACCAGAUCAUUUCUUUAAUGUGUACAGAUUUCCUUUCUUCAUUGACUAAAUAGCUUUGCUAAACGAGAUUAAAACCACAUAACUCAAAUGAGACAUAUAAGAUCUUGAAUAAUGUUCACAUAGCUACAACAUCAAAUUCCAGUGCUAAUAUAAAUUAUGUCUACUACGUUUUCAUUUAUUUGGGAUUAUCUGUUUGCCUCAAGUGGUGUAAAAAAAUUGAGCAGGAACCACCUGAAACUUCCUUUCACAACAAGAGAAAGUUGUAAUUUGUAUUUACUUUACCUAGCUUUCUUUAUAUGAAUGUAGCCAAGAAGCAGGGGAGGAAGGACAAUUACAGGAAAUUGUGAUAGGAAACUAUUAGGAAAAGCAAUUUGUAAUUUCUGCUAAAACUCUAGGUAAAUAACCCUGAGCAUUCAUAGUCUGGCAAGU